rnacentral:rRNA from 1 species
UACGGAGGGUGCGAGCGUUGUUCGGAAUUAUUGGGCGUAAAGCGCGUGUAGGCGGCUCCUUAAGUCUGAUGUGAAAGCCCCGGGCUCAACCCUGGAAGUGCAUUGGAAACUGGGGAACUUGAAUACGGGAGAGGGUAGUGGAAUUCCUGGUGGAGGAGUGAAAUGCGUAGAUAGGAGGAGGAACACCGGUGGCGAAGGCGGCUACCUGGACCGAUAUUGACGCUGAGACGCGAGAGCGUGGGGAGCAAACAGG